UACGUAGGGUGCAAGCGUUGUCCGGAAUUAUUGGGCGUAAAGAGCUCGUAGGUGGCGGGUCACGUCGGGUGUGAAAACCCAGGGCUCAACCCUGGGCCUGCAUUCGAUACGGGCAGACUAGAGUAUGGCAGGGGAGACUGGAAUUCCUGGUGUAGCGGUGAAAUGCGCAGAUAUCAGGAGGAACACCGGUGGCGAAGGCGGGUCUCUGGGCCAAAACUGACGCUGAGGAGCGAAAGCGUGGGGAGCGAACAGG
rnacentral:rRNA from 1 species